AGAGCGAACGCUGGCGGCAGGCCUAACACAUGCAAGUCGAGCGCCCGUAGCAAUACGGGAGCGGCAGACGGGAUAGUAACACGUGGGAACGCGCCCUUCGGUUCGGAAUAACUCAGGGAAACUUGAGCUAAUACCGAAUACGCCCUUACGGGGAAAGAUUUAUUGCCGAAGGAACGGCCCGCGUCCGAUUAGCUAGUUGGUGAGGUAAUGGCUCACCAAGGCUACGAUCGGUAGCUGGUCUGAGAGGAUGACCAGCAUCACUGGGACUGAGACACGGCCCAGACUCCUACGGGAGGCAGCAGUGGGGAAUAUUGGACAAUGGGCGCAAGCCUGAUCCAGCCAUGCCGCGUGGAUGAUGAAGGCCUUAGGGUUGUAAAGUCCUUUUAACGGGAAGAUAAUGACGGUACCCGUAGAAUAAGCCCGGCUAACUUCGCGCCAGCAGCCGC
rnacentral:rRNA from 1 species